UGAGGGCGAAAUCGGCACCAAAGCCCGAAUCUCUCACUCUCUUCCUUUCUUUAUCUCCACCGAAAUUACGACACCUUCCACGAGCAAGGCAGAAUAUCGAGUAUCCGACACGACCAUCCAAGAGCUAAAUCUGGGUUUCAAGUCGGACUGCUUCUUUUAGCCCUGAAGAAUGGUUCUCACUAACUUCACAGGCACCGGCGUUGGAUUCGGUUUUGGCGUGGGCUGUGGUUUUGGAGUUGGAUGGGGAUUCGGAGGGCAUCUCCCCAGAACUGAAAGUCCAAACAAUCAGCAAAACUGAAGACAUUUGAGAAGCAUAUAACAAGUUCUUGAGGAUCAACAAUUCAAUUUCGGAGAAGCAGACAAGCUGCGAUUGUCAGCUAUUUGCCCGUGAGAUAUCUAUGAACUCGACGAUCGGGAUCAAUUAGUCAUGGGUUGUGCUUGGUUGCCGAAAAGAUGAAGCAUGGCUGGAUGAAGUGUAUCCAAAUUGAAAGGGCAAAUUGACAAGCAUGAUGAGAAUGAGAUCAGGUUUUAUAUGAUGGCUGUAGUAAAGAGCAAUCUGGUAGUAUAUCAAAAUAAACUCUAUGAGAUGAAAAACAGGUGCAAUGUACUUCAUUUGGGAGAAAGAAGGAGAGAUUCCAUAUCGCAAUGAAGUUAAAUCUUGCAAGUAGGAGGUUUUGCAGAUAUAUGAUUGUAGUAAUCAACCUUUUCAAACUUCGGCAGAGAAUAACCAGUUGAAGCUUCUGAUUGAUACUUUAAGCAAAGUAUCGAAGGAGAUAUCAAAUAGCAGAAAACACAGAUGCUUUCAUUUAGAUGCCACAUUUUCUUUUCUUCAUUGCUUGUUCAAUUUUAGUAUUCAAAUCUUGUAUUAUGUGUAAGUUUUCUUUGCCUGAAAGAUUGAUCCCAUGUCUGGUUUAUGAAGUUACUAUAUUCUGAGAAUCAUAGUAAAGUUCAGAAUCGUUAGGUAUUUUUACUCCAUAAGUUUUCCAGAAUGAAUUGAGUUCUGAUGAGUUGUUUAAAUCCAUUCUGAAUUUUCCAAAAGUUUUUCAUGAAUUUUUAACUCAAUCUUUUUGAAAUCUGAUUUGGAUAAGGAUUAUCUGGAGACUUUAGAAGACUGAGAGGUUGCACGUGGUAAAAAGGAGGGAGCACGAGAGAUAGGGAUGAAGAGAAAGGAAAAUUUGCUUUUUGGUAGAUAGACCUCCUUGAGGGUAAAAAAGUCAAGAAAAUUUCACUCAGGAGUGUAUCUGCCAGUAUCAAACUUAAGGGAUAAUAAGUGGCACAACGUGGUACUAUAGAGCGUCCAUGUGCAAUUUGCCC